UGCAGUCGUACGGUAACAGGCAAGCAGCUUGCUUCUUUGCUGACGAGUGGCGGACGGGUGAGUAAUGUCUGGGAAACUGCCUGAUGGAGGGGGAUAACUACUGGAAACGGUAGCUAAUACCGCAUAACGUCGCAAGACCAAAGAGGGGGACCUUCGGGCCUCUUGCCAUCGGAUGUGCCCAGAUGGGAUUAGCUAGUAGGUGGGGUAACGGCUCACCUAGGCGACGAUCCCUAGCUGGUCUGAGAGGAUGACCAGCCACACUGGAACUGAGACACGGUCCAGACUCCUACGGGAGGCAGCAGUGGGGAAUAUUGCACAAUGGGCGCAAGCCUGAUGCAGCCAUGCCGCGUGUAUGAAGAAGGCCUUCGGGUUGUAAAGUACUUUCAGCGGGGAGGAAGGGAGUAAAGUUAAUACCUUUGCUCAUUGACGUUACCCGCAGAAGAAGCACCGGCUAACUCCGUGCCAGCAGCCGCGGUAAUACGGAGGGUGCAAGCGUUAAUCGGAAUUACUGGGCGUAAAGCGCACGCAGGCGGUUUGUUAAGUCAGAUGUGAAAUCCCCGGGCUCAACCUGGGAACUGCAUCUGAUACUGGCAAGCUUGAGUCUCGUAGAGGGGGGUAGAAUUCCAGGUGUAGCGGUGAAAUGCGUAGAGAUCUGGAGGAAUACCGGUGGCGAAGGCGGCCCGCUGGACGAAGACUGACGCUCAUGUGCGAAAGCGUGGGGAGCAAAACAGGAUUAGAUACCCUGGUAGUCCACGCGGUAAACGAUGUCGACUUGGAGGUUGUGCCCUUGAGGCGUGGCUUCCGGAGCUAACGCGUUAAGUCGACCGCCUGGGGAGUACGGCCGCAAGGUUAAAACUCAAAUGAAUUGACGGGGGCCCGCACAAGCGGUGGAGCAUGUGGUUUAAUUCGAUGCAACGCGAAGAACCUUACCUGGUCUUGACAUCCACGGAAGUUUUCAGAGAUGAGAAUGUGCCUUCGGGAACCGUGAGACAGGUGCUGCAUGGCUGUCGUCAGCUCGUGUUGUGAAAUGUUGGGUUAAGUCCCGCAACGAGCGCAACCCUUAUCCUUUGUUGCCAGCGGUCCGGCCGGGAACUCAAAGGAGACUGCCAGUGAUAAACUGGAGGAAGGUGGGGAUGACGUCAAGUCAUCAUGGCCCUUACGACCAGGGCUACACACGUGCUACAAUGGCGCAUACAAAGAGAAGCGACCUCGCGAGAGCAAGCGGACCUCAUAAAGUGCGUCGUAGUCCGGAUUGGAGUCUGCAACUCGACUCCAUGAAGUCGGAAUCGCUAGUAAUCGUGGAUCAGAAUGCCACGGUGAAUACGUUCCCGGGCCUUGUACACACCGCCCGUCACACCAUGGGAGUGGGUUGCAAAAGAAGUAGGUAGC
rnacentral:rRNA from 1 species